AGUGAACGCUGGCGGUAGGCCUAACACAUGCAAGUAGAACGGUAGCAAAGUAAGAGCUUGCUCUUACGGGUGGUGAGUAACGGACGGGUGAGGAAUACAUCGGAAUCUACUUUUUCGUGGGGGAUAACGUAGGGAAACUUACGCUAAUACCGCAUACGACAUACGGGUGAAAGCAGGGGAUCUUCGGACCUUGCGCGAUCGACUGAGCCGAUGUUGGUUGAGUUAGUUGGUGGGGUAAAGGCCCACCAAGGCGACGAUACCUACCUGGUCUGCGAGGGUGAUCGGGCAAACUGGGAAUGAGACAAGGGACAGACUCCUACGGGAGGCAGCAGUAGGGGAUCUUUGGAAAUGGGGGCAACGCUGAAUGAGGAACGACGGGUGAGUGAAGAAGGUUUUUGGAUCGUAAAGCUCUGUUGUGAGUGAAGAAAGGGUGUCAGAGUGGAAAGCUGACGCUGUGACGGUAGCUUAAGAGAAAGGGACGGCUAACUACGUG
rnacentral:rRNA from 1 species